UAGGCCAUUGGAGAUGUGAAUAUGUGCGGGUUUGAUUACGGCCAUCCUUGAGCCACCACUUGGCAAUUGUCAAUGGUGGCUACAUGAAUUGGCAUCAGAUCAGAGCUAUUCGAGCUCCUACAAAUAGGUGCUCCCUUCCUCAGGUUUCACCUUUAUCAUUUUACAAUUCCAUUGUUGUGGAAGAGAGAGAUGGAGUCCUUGGGUGAUUUCCAACAAAUCUCAAUCGAUAGCCACGAUUGUCCUUGGCU
rnacentral:lncRNA from 1 species